rnacentral:rRNA from 1 species
UAGGGAAUCUUCCACAAUGGGCGCAAGCCUGAUGGAGCAACACCGCGUGAGUGAAGAAGGGUUUCGGCUCGUAAAGCUCUGCUGUUAAAGAAGAACACGUAUGAGAGUAACUGUUCAUACGUUGACGGUAUUUAACCAGAAAGUCACGGCUAACUACGUGCCAGCAGCCGCGGUAAUACGUAGGUGGCAAGCGUUAUCCGGAUUUAUUGGGCGUAAAGAGAGUGCAGGCGGUUUUCUAAGUCUGAUGUGAAAGCCUUCGGCUUAACCGGAGAAGUGCAUCGGAAACUGGAUAACUUGAGUGCAGAAGAGGGUAGUGGAACUCCAUGUGUAGCGGUGGAAUGCGUAGAUAUAUGGAAGAACACCAGUGGCGAAGGCGGCUACCUGGUCUGCAACUGACGCUGAGACUCGAAAGCAUGGGUAGCGGACAGGAUUAGAUACCCUGGUAGUCCAUGCCGUAAACGAUGAGUGCUAGGUGUUGGAGGGUUUCCGCCCUUCAGUGCCGGAGCUAACGCAUUAAGCACUCCGCCUGGGGAGUACGACCGCAAGGUUG